UGGGGAAUAUUGGUCAAUGGACGCAAGUCUGAACCAGCCAUGCCGCGUGGAGGAUGAAGGUCCUCUGGAUUGUAAACUUCUUUUAUAUGGGACGAAAAAGGGUCUUUCUAGAUCAACUGACGGUACCAUAUGAAUAAGCACCGGCUAACUCCGUGCCAGCAGCCGCGGUAAUACGGAGGGUGCAAGCGUUAUCCGGAUUCACUGGGUUUAAAGGGUGCGUAGGUGGGUUGGUAAGUCAGUGGUGAAAUCCCCGAGCUUAACUUGGGAACUGCCAUUGAUACUAUUAAUCUUGAAUACUGUGGAGGUCAGCGGAAUAUGUCAUGUAGCGGUGAAAUGCUUAGAUAUGACAUAGAACACCAAUUGCGAAGGCAGCUGGCUACACAAAUAUUGACACUGAGGCACGAAAGCGUGGGGAUCAAACAGGAUUAGAUACCCAUGUAGUCCCUGAGCGGGCUGGCAAGGCGCAU
rnacentral:rRNA from 1 species